CGAAAGAAGGGGGGGUCUUUGAAAAUAUUUACAAGUUUUAAAAAUGUAUCACAAAACAAAUUACUAUUCAUAAAUGGAGCCAAAUAAAUAGUCUCUCAUGUUCAUGCCGGUAAAUAGACAAUUCCCAUUAUGGACUAAUUUUGAAACUAGGCAGAGAGAUGCAAAUAAAUCACCACAACUAGAAAGAGCAUACUAAAAUGAGUAAAAUUGCAAAGUUUGGUUGCAAAAUGUUGUAAAAUCCGGAAAAUAUGGCC